rnacentral:rRNA from 1 species
UACGGGGGGGGUAAGCGUUGUUCGGAAUUACUGGGCGUAAAGGGCUCGUAGGCGGCCAACUAAGUCAGACGUGAAAUCUCUCAGCUUAACUGGGGAACUGCGUCUGAUACUGGAUGGCUUGGAUUCGGGAGAGGAAUGCGGAAUUCCAGGUGUAGCGGUGAAAUGCGUAGAUAUCUGGAGGAACACCGGUGGCGAAGGCGGCAUUCUGGACCGACAUUGACGCUGAGGAGCGAAAGCCAGGGGAGCAAACGGG